rnacentral:rRNA from 1 species
GAUGAACGCUGGCGGCGUGCCUAAUACAUGCAAGUCGAGCGAACAGAUGAGGAUUUUGCUCCUCUGACGUUAGCGGCGGACGGGUGAGUAACACGUGGCUAACCUACCUAUAAGACUGGGCUAACUUCGGGAAACCGGAGCCAAUACCGGAUUAUAUAUUGAACCGCAUGGUUCAAUAGUGAAAGACGGUUUUGCUGUCACUUAUAGAUGGAUCCGCGCCGCAGUAGCUAGUUGGUAAGGUAACGGCUUACCACGGCGACGAUGCGUAGCCGACCUGAGAGGGUGAUCGGCCACACUGGAACUGAGACACGGUCCAGACUCAUACGGGAGGCAGCAGUAGGGAAUCGUCCGCAAUGGGCGAAAGCUGGACGGAGCAACGCCGCGUGAGUGAUGAAGGUCUUCGGAUCGGAAAACUCUGUUAUUAGGGAAGAACAAAUGUGUAAGUAACUAGGCACGUCUUGACGGUACCGAAACAGAAAGCCACGGCUAACUACGUG